UACGUAGGGGGCAAGCGUUAUCCGGAUUUACUGGGUGUAAAGGGAGCGUAGACGGUUCUGCAAGUCUGGAGUGAAAGCCCGGGGCUCAACCCCGGGACUGCUUUGGAAACUGUGGAACUGGAGUGCAGGAGAGGUAAGUGGAAUUCCUAGUGUAGCGGUGAAAUGCGUGGAUAUUAGGAGGAACACCAGUGGCGAAGGCGGCUUACUGGACUGUAACUGACGUUGAGGCUCGAAAGCGUGGGGAGCAAACAGG
rnacentral:rRNA from 1 species